rnacentral:lncRNA from 1 species
AGCACAUCCAAGCAUGUAUAAACCAUUUAAUUUUGAGUAAGAGGGUGCCACUAAACAAGUCUUUUAAUUAAUGAGGUUGGUCCACUGAGUGUCUACAUGGGGAAAAGUAGACCUUAAUUCUCACACCAUAUACAGAAAUGAAUUACAAGUGGAUUUCUAGAUCUCAAUCUGCGGCUAAACAACAAUACUUCUAGAAUGAGAAUACAGACGUGGGGCAUGGUGGCUCACUCCUGUAAUCCCAGCCCUUUGGUAGGCCAAGGCAGGCAGGUCAUGUGACGUCAGGAAUUCAUAAUCAGCCUGGCCAACAUGGUGAAAGCUGUCUCUACCAAAAAAUAAGAAAACUAGCAUACCAGUAAUGAGGUAACUCGAAUCUCUGCCACCGCUGACACAGCCGCAGUCACUUAGGCUGGGACUGCUCAGACUCGCCAGUUCGCCUAACGGUGCACAUCUCUGGGAUAUGGGGGAUACCAGAGUACCUGGAGAACACCCAUGUUCAAACUGCACAUCAUGGCCCCAGCCGCAACAUUGUAACAAAACGAAAUGGAAUUAAACAGGAAUUCAAGGGCCUGCUGUACUUGCAGCAGAUUGGAAACGCCGAUAAAAUUUUGGGCUCCUGUCUUCUGUCUCCUGACAAUCCUGGAGUUUUUCCAUGUGGCUGCAUCAUAUCUCAUGCCUCCUGUCUCUAGGAACUUGCCUUGGGCUACAUCUAUACUUGAUGGAAAGAACUGCACAUUACUCAAAGAAUCUAAACUAAGAACUGGUAAGCCUGAAUCUUAGGAAGAUAAAGGUAUUUGUUUGUAUGGAAUAUGUAGGAAGAAAUAUAUGUGUUAAAAGGAGUCACGAUCGUUGGGCUAUGGGAGACGUUUGGGUAUGAAUCAACAGGCAUCCACUUACGUGGCUUUGCUAAUAGGUAGCUUUUAUUUAGAAAGCCCCGUGUCUCGGUCAAUAUGAUUGCAGUAAACCUAAGGAAAGCAAGUCACUGGAACUUGGUGAACUAGCGGCUCCCAGUCCCCAGGCCACAGUGGUUGGUUCACAUCUGCACACAUCACCAUUUCAGAGAUUCAAAGUCAUCAUGAGAAUUUUGCUGAACUCUCUGAAACAGUGGCAGAUUGCAUCUCUGAAUGGAUGGGAAGCUAAUAAGUGAAACUAAGGACUACUGCCACUAUCUUGCUUGAUCAUGGAGCCUGAAGAAAGAAACAGUUCUGAAUGCCUCGCCUAAGCCAUGAAUUCAAUUGCAUUUGAAUCAACCCUACCAUAAGUGUACUCAGCAUGUGAAACAAUCAGUCAUCUCUUUCUUCAGCCAGUCCUGAUUAUAUUGACUGUCUUUAUGUGAAGAAUCUUAAGUAAAAUGUUCCUGUUAGACUUUGACGAGAAAAACAGAACCACAUAAAUAAAUAAAAAUACAAUUAUUUUGCAGAUUGGGAAUUAUAGGGAAAAGUGUCCCUCCACCUUGUGCAGAAGUCCCUUACUUGAGGUUACUCUAGAAUAUAUUAUCCUUGAAUGUUGCACAUUCCCCCCCAUCCCAUUUAAGCAUUUUAUGCAUAUUAUCUGGGGCUACAAAUAGCAAUAAGGCUCUGGCAAGAAUAGAAGUCAAAGGAACAUUAGUGUGUGAAUAGCAAACAGCAGAGCCACAACCAGUGGAGAAGGUUUGUCGACAAGCACGUCCAUAUAUUUACUGUUACAGCCAGGAGACGUUCCGGGAAAUAUCGCUUCGUUGUGAAGGAAAUCUGGCUAAAAUACCCUUUACCCCAUUUACACUAUUCUAGAUUAUUUGUAUACCAAUAUACACGAUCAUCCAUUCUGGUCUUUUUGCUGUUCUCUGUUCCUUCUUAGAAAGAGACUUACAUUAAUCAAAGUUCUGUCAAAC